CAGACGACUCUCGGCAAUGGAUAUCUCGGCUCUUGCAUCGAUGAAGAACGUAGUGAAAUGCGAUACUUGGUGUGAAUUGCAGAAUCUCGUGAACCAUUGAGUCUUUGAACGCAAGUUGUGCCCGAGGCCUUGUGGCCGAGGGCACGCCUGCUUGGGCGUCAUGG
rnacentral:rRNA from 1 species